rnacentral:rRNA from 1 species
UACGAAGGGGGCUAGCGUUGUUCGGAAUUACUGGGCGUAAAGCGCGUGUAGGCGGGUCUUUAAGUCAGGGGUGAAAUGCCUGGGCUCAACCUUGGAACUGCCUUUGAUACUGGGGACCUUGAGUCCGGGAGAGGUGAGUGGAAUUGCGAGUGUAGAGGUGAAAUUCGUAGAUAUUCGCAAGAACACCAGUGGCGAAGGCGGCUUACUGGUCCGGUACUGACGCUGAGGUGCGAAAGCGUGGGGAGCAAACAGG